UACAGAGGUGGCGAGCGUUGUUCGGAAUUACUGGGCGUAAAGGGCUCGUAGGUGGCCAACUAAGUCAGACGUGAAAUCCCCAGGCUCAACUUGGGAACUGCGUCUGAUACUGGAUGGCUUGAAUUCGGGAGAGGGAUGCAGAAUUCCAGGUGUAGCGGUGAAAUGCGUAGAUAUCUGGAGGAAUACCGGUGGCGAAGGCGGCAUCCUGGACCGAUAUUGACACUGAGGAGCGAAAGCCAGGGGAGCAAACGGG
rnacentral:rRNA from 1 species